rnacentral:misc_RNA from 1 species
GAUGAAGAACGCAGCGAAAUGCGAUACUUGGUGUGAAUUGCAGAAUCCCGUGAACCAUCGAGUCUUUGAACGCAAGUUGCGCCCGAAGCCAUUAGGCCGAGGGCACGCCUGCCUGGGCGUCACACGUUGUUGCCCCCCCAUCUACUCCUUCGGGAUUGCGGGGGGCGGAUGAUGGCCUCCCGUGCGCCUCGUCGCGCGGUUGGCAUAAAUGCCAAGUCCUCGGCGACGCACGCCACGACAAUCGGUGGUUGCGAAACCUCGGUUGCCCGUCGUGUGCGGUCGUCGCGCAUCGAGGGCUCGAAAAAAUUGUCGGGCUCCGGCUCGGCUUUCAACGCGACCCCAGGUCAGGCGGGGUUACCCGCUGAAUUUAAGCAUAUCAAUAAGCGGGGA